UUUGUGCAAAUCGUGAUAUCCGGGUUAAGUCCCGUAGGCCUUGGUGCGGGUUACCAUAACCGGGCUAUGUCCCGAAGGCGAUUGAACGAGUAGCGAUAUCCGGUUAAACUCCGAAGGUAUGUGAUUUGAAAAUUAUAAGCUUGCUGGAAAAUUUUAGCUAAUGCACUUGUGAAAUUUCCCAAUGACAAGGUAAGUGUGGUGUGUGCUUUGCGCGCUAGGAGUAAGAGCGUAUGCAUAUCCGCUCCUAUGAUGGAACGAGUUAUCGGCCUUAACGAAGCCGUUAUUUGUGUAUGAACCUAAGAGUUGGGAUGGUGAAAUUUUGCUCGAUAGCAAUCGGAUUCGGGAUCAUUAAAGUCGAAGUCAUCCACACUAUCAACGCCUCUAUUUUGGUAUAAAUUUUGGUUGAACUUUGAAAUGGCAUGUAUAGGACUACCCCUUGUUGGUUUAAAAAUGUGGUGAUGUAUAUGUGUACGGCCAUGCGAAAACGGCUCGUAAAAGUGAAGAAUGAACUUAGACUAUUUGCGGUUUGUAUAUAUAUAUAUGGUGUCAUGA